GCAAUGGUGUCUUUAGACACCACCACUGCGCUCAAAUAUUUGUUUU
rfam:Picea glauca, whole genome shotgun sequence.